AGUGGGAUAAUUAGGUCAAAUGGUGCUUCAAUUCCAAGUUUUUAAAGCAAUCUCCAUACUGCUUUUCCAGAGUGGUUACACCAAUUUGCAGUCCCACCAACAAU
rnacentral:pre_miRNA from 1 species